CAGCCGCCACGGUAAUACGAAGGGGGCUAGCGUUGUUCGGAAUUACUGGGCGUAAAGCGCGCGUAGGCGGACAUUUAAGUCAGGGGUGAAAUCCCGGGGCUCAACCCCGGAACUGCCUCUGAUACUGGGUGUCUAGAGUUCGGAAGAGGUAAGUGGAAUUGCGAGUGUAGAGGUGAAAUUCGUAGAUAUUCGCAGGAACACCAGUGGCGAAGGCGACUUACUGGUCCGAUACUGACGCUGAGGUGCGAAAGCGUGGGGAGCAAACAGGAUUAGAUACCCGCGUAGUCCCUGUCUCUUAUAC
rnacentral:rRNA from 1 species